CUGUCUCGUGUGGUUCCUCACUCACUCAGUCCUCUCAAUAACCCUCUGGAGAGGCAUCCAGUAUUGUCCCCUCUACUUCACAGAUGAGGAAACUGAGGCACAGAGAAAUUGAGUAACUUCCCCAAGGUUAUACGACCACACAUUUUCUUGGGCAAGUCUACUGAUCCAAGACAUCCACAGUUCUGGGGAAAACACUGGAAGGUCAUUUGUCAAGUGUCUUCUAGUUCUAACACUGAAAACACGUUUCUGCAGCAGUUGAGCCCCCACAGAACCCUUUAAGACGAUGAGAAGACUGAGAUUUGUCGAGGUCACGUGAUUGCUCUCAACCACCCAGCUCUGAAGAGGCUUGAGAGCUGUGCCUGUCAUCCCUGUCAUUGUCCGCCUGUGUGAUCUUGGGCAGGUUAUUUAAGCUUUCUGAGCCUCAGUUUCCUCAUCCACAAAAUGGUGCAAAGCGAUUUCUACUUUACAGACGCGGCUGACCUUAGGGACCGAGAUGGUAGCGGCUGGUUCCAGGCAGCAAGAUGGAGGAAGGGACAAGGAAGAGAGCAAAGCUACUCACCUGACACUGGACACUUCUGCUCACAUCCUGUUGGCCAGAACUUAGUCACAGGACCUGACCUAAACUACAAAGAAGCCUUGAAAAUUAGUCUUUUCUUUCCGGGUGAAAAUGUUCAGCCCCAGCUGCAAAUUCUAUUAUGUGGAAAAAAGAGAGACAGGAUCUUGAGGAACAACUAGAAGUUUCUACCAACACAAAAUCGUCUUUCUGGAUUUAGCCUAAAGGUUCAUGUGGAUAAAGAAAAGAUCCAUUUAUUCAUUCAUUC
rnacentral:lncRNA from 1 species